rnacentral:rRNA from 1 species
UUAGAUACCCUAUUAUUGUAAAUGUAAAUUUUAAACUAAAUGAUUAAUAGUUAUGUUCUUUAAAGUUAAAUAAUUUGGCGGUAUUUUAGUCUUUUCAGAGGAACCUGUUCUAUAAAUGAUAAUCCACGAUAUUAUUGUCUUAAAUUAGAAAUUUAUAUAUCAUCGUUAUUAAAUAUUUUUUUAGAAUUUAAUAUUUAAAAAAUUUUAUUUAAUUUUAAUUCAGAUCAAGGUAUAGUUUAUAUUUAAGUUGAAAUGGGUUACAAUAUUAAUAAAUUUGGAUUUUAAGUUUUAAAUUUAAAUGAAAUUGGAUUUGAAAGUAAUUAUUUUUAU